UCCCUGGCGGUCCAGUGGUUAGGACUCGGCACUUUUAUUGCCAGGGGCCCAGGUUCAACCCCUGGUCAGGGAA